UACCAGACUCCUACGGGAGGCAGCAGUGGGGAAUAUUGCACAAUGGGGGGAACCCUGAUGCAGCGACGCCGCGUGAGUGAAGAAGUAUUUCGGUAUGUAAAGCUCUAUCAGCAGGGAAGAAAAUGACGGUACCUGAUUAAGAAGCCCCGGCUAACUACGUGCCAGCAGCCGCGGUAAUACGUAGGGGGCAAGCGUUAUCCGGAUUUACUGGGUGUAAAGGGAGCGUAGACGGCAUAGCAAGUCUGAAGUGAAAGCCCAAGGCUCAACCAUGGGACUGCUUUGGAAACUGUUAAGCUAGAGUGCUGGAGAGGUAAGCGGAAUUCCUAGUGUAGCGGUGAAAUGCGUAGAUAUUAGGAAGAACACCAGUGGCGAAGGCGGCUUGCUGGACAGUAACUGACGUUGAGGCUCGAAAGCGUGGGGAGCAAACAGGAUUAGAUACCCGGGUAC
rnacentral:rRNA from 1 species